GGCCGGGGCCGGGGCCGGAGUCGGAGUCCCUUGGCUGGUGUGGGGGCGGUGAGGUUGGCGUGUAAGGGGUGCUUAGUUUGUCGUAGGGCAGGGUUGCCCCGUGGUCCCCAAUGCAGCUCCCCAGAUGAGCUCGCAGUAUUUUCCUUAUAUGAUCAGGCCCCACUGCUGGCGGCGCCGCUUGCCUGGAGCCUGAGAGGAUUAUGAAAACGUGUCGGGCGAGGUGGGGCCAGGGGACCGGGGGCGGGCAGAUGAGGGGCAGCCGCUUAGGCUAGAGAGGAGGGAGGUUUCGGGAGGCCUCUGCCACUGUGACUGUGAGCCCUGGUCGAUGAUGACGUGACCACUGCGCAAUCUGAGUUCUGGGAACCAUGAUGGAGUGUGUACUGAGACCGGGCGAGCAGGAUGCGGUAGAUCCGCAGCGCGGGGCUCCGAGGUGGUCCAGGCUGCCUCUGGCUUGGUUCGCGUGGGGGUGGGAAACUUGACUCUGGUUUAAUCCUUUUCGUCUUUGUGUUGCUUUGGUUUGAGUGAAUAUGGGAAAGAGUCAAUUCAAUACAGAAGUAAGUUCCGAGGGGUAUUAACUUUAAAAAAUACGUAAACUACGUUUUCACAGCAAGUAUCUGUAGUCAGUGGAAUUCUGAUGGAAAGGAGGUGACUCUUCUUUGGAGGAAGAAAUAAAGUAUUUUGGAAGAAACCUUGGUAAGGAUAAAUUUCUAUACUUGGCAGUAUAUGGUAGCUUAGGUUCAGAAGCUUUAUUUGCUUUUUGGGGGAGGGGGUGUGAGAUAAAGUGUAGUUUCAGGUAGGUGGAGAAGUGAGUCAAUAUUGUCAUUCCUAGAUCAGCCCUUCUCAACCAGGGUUCCUACAGAAAAUGAUUUGAGUAACGAUUUUCUCAGUUCUCUCAAGGAGGGUACAGAGGUAGCCUCUUUAUCAAGAAGGAAUGUCUUCCUCUCCAGUUUCAUUGGCCUGAAUUGAGUUGUGUGCCCAUGCCAUAGCAGCAGAAGCAGCUGGGAAGAAAGAUAUCUGGCCUUUUCAGCUUCUGUCUUGGAAAGUGGGCUCUGCCAGUAAGGCUAGAAUCUGGAGAAGGCUGUUGGAGAUAGGAGUAAAAGGUACCCGUGCUGUGAAGAGAGAAGAGUCUGCAAUGCCCAAUGCACGACUCUGCAGGAUCUGGAUGACAUUACAAUCAUUCAAGAUGAGACAGGAAAACAUUAGCGCAACGUUAGUUUGAAGGGGAAGGAAGGAAAACCCUGAAUAGGUUAAAACACAUGCAGAAGAAGAGUCAAAUGUAAUGCCAUCUCAUGUACUUCAGAGAACCCUCCGUGAUAUUCAUGAUGAAGAGGUCCUGUUAAUCCUACCAAAAAGAAACUUACUAAAGAUGCAAGUAAGUAGAAUUCAAAACAGACAUCUACCUCCACACCCAACUUCAUUGCAUGGAGUUGAAAUUCCAGAGGACUACAAAGUGACUAGACGUGGAGAACAAUUUUUUAUCCAUGAUUUCGGUGCUCAAGAUCAUGAAAGAAUUCUUAUUUACAGAACUUAGGACAGUAUUCGAUAUUUAAGUGCCAAUACCACAUUAUUCAGUGAUGGCACCAACACAGUUCACUCAGUUAUUUACUGUGCAUGGUAUAGUAUUGGGUUAUACUAUGCCAUUGACUUACACUUUACUAUGAAAAAGUGAAAAGAUACAGAUGUAUAUAUGUGAGGAAGUACCUUCACUUGCACGCGAAAGAAACCUCAACAUGAACACGUCAUUGUGCAUGAUGAAUUUUGAGAUUGCAAAUAUGAAUGUGAUUUGACUACUCCUACCAAAUGCACAGUAACAGGAUGUUUGUUUCACUUUUCACAAUCACUGUGGCGAAAAAUAUCUUCUUUAGGUCUAACACAAGUAUUUGACAAUGGAAAGUAACACCUGUAAGUGUGCAUCCAUGUUGUUUGGACUUUGAUCUGUGCCUUUGGAAGAUGUAAAUUAAACUUUUGAGUAUAUUGUGGAGAAUGCAGAAGAAAAUUUAGAUGAGCUAAUGGGCUGUGUUGAGAGAGUAUAUAUCAGUGGAAGGCAUGGCAGGGGCAAAAGAGGAUGAGAAGCUUCAAGAUUUCCACUAGAAACUCAAAAUAUUUAUACAGCAAUACUGAACAGUGGUCACAGGAUGAACAAUGCAGUGGAAGGCUGGUAUGGCAGAUUUCAAAAGCUGAUGGUAGUGCCUCAUCCUUCAAUUUGGAGAUAUUGGAGUGUUAAAAGAAACAGCAAAGCAAUGAACAAGUUAUCGCCCAGGUUCUGGGUGGUCACACUCAAAUAUGGCCACCAACUUCACAAUAGCAACAAAAUCAAAUUUGUAUAACAGAAAUUGUUAGCAGAUAUAUCGAAUGUAAAGCCAAUAAUCAGGUCAAUAUAUACUUGAGAGCAAUUGCUCGUCGACUUAAGAGUAACCCUGCCAAACUUCAUGACGAAGAAGAACAAAUGUGAAAUCCAGAAUUCAUCAUGAAUUACAUAAAAUAAUGUAAGUAAAAUUUUAAUGAAGUUAAAUGUAUUAUUUAACGAAUCAUUGGCCAAAUGUCUCAAUGGAUGUUUAGGACAGGACCAAAUAUCAAGGACCCUAGGACAUUUUCGGCAUGGACCAAAUGUCUCCAUGGACGUUUGGGAUAGGACCAAAUAUUGAGGACCUUUUGGCGUGGAGCAAAUGUCUCCAUGGAUGUUUUGGACUGGACCAAAUGUCUUGCAAAGGUUUGUGCAAUUGCUUUGAUUUGUUAUUGAAUUCAGUGUUAACAGUUAUCAAAAAGGAGUGGAAAAUAGACAAACUAAAAAUGCUGCUAAGUGAGUGUAGUGCCUGGCACGUGGGAGGCAGUCAAUAAUUAUUUGUGACAUUGAAUACUACUACUGAUGAUAAAAUUGAAACCCAAAUAGAAUUCUUUAUGUGAGCCAAAAUCAGCACAUUUUAUCUUAAACUGACACUCUGUGAACUUAAGCCAGUCAACUGUGUAUUUUGUAAUGAAGAAAAUAAAAAUUAGAGAACAUAUGUGAAGUGAAUUAUGCCUAAAUGUGAGAUACAGUGGAGGAAAUAAACAGAUCUUUAGUUAUUAAAAAGUAUUUAUUUCCACAAAUUUUUAUCCACAGCUGAAUAUUACAGUGACUAAUACAAGUAUUUUGCUAUAAACAAAGAUGUAGUUUACAGAUUUGUUCAAAAUUGGAAAAAUAUUUUUAUCAGUAGUAUUUCUUCUACAAUGUUAGAUUCAGCCCUGAAUAAGAUGUGAACCCCGUCAGAGGAACAGUCCUUUAUCUAAACAUCAGUUGGCAAAAUGUAUCCAAAUCUGGAUUAUUCUGAUACAAUAUCACUUUAGAAAGUAGCUCAAAUUCAUUUCUGAUUGAUCCCUUUUAUUAGAAUUAGAAAUUUUUUUUUAGGAAAAACAAUCUUUAGUAUCUAAUGACCUUUACAAUAAGGAAAAAAACACAGUCCUAUGUUUUAUUGUCAUUGGCAUCAACCUCUAAUUUUCUAUAUCCCUAACUCUCUAAUUAUGGCACCAACGUGUACAAAAAGUGAAUUAUGACUAUUUGGCUUCAUGCAGCAAAUUAAUCUGAGAAACUUACCACAGAGAAAUACCUAUGAUGAAAAACUACAGGGUCCGGCCCCAUGCUGUCACAUUUUAGUCACCGUUUAGUCCUACAGGCAUUGUACAAGUGAUUUAAUACCCCUGCUGCUUUGGAAUUAGGUCAAAUGUGUGAAAACAUUUAAAUUUACUAUAUGCAAAAGAAAUGGAUUCUAAUUUAUUACCAUAAUCUUAGUACAUUCAUUAAGGCUCUAAGUAAAUAUUUAUGAAUUGAUGGUAGUAGUGUUAAUUUUUUUCUAAGUUUUUCAAGUUUGUAGUUUUGUCUUUUGUUUUUACAAAAGGCUUAAAAUUUAGUGUAGGAAUAUCAAGGGAAGAAACUCCUAUUAACAUGCUCCAUGGAAAGGAGGAAAAAUGUCUAUUUUCCUUUGGGUCUCAUCUACUUGCCAGCUCCCAUCAAGCUACCUGUAGCUGUGAUGGCACAGGGAGAAUGCAUGUGGGUUAUGUGCUCAUCAGCUUCAGCAACAAUUAUCCAUUAAUAUGUCCAUAUGCACAUUACUAUAGGUGAACAGAUAGGUCCCAUUUAAUACUCAAAACACAAAUUGUUUAAUCUAUAAAUAUUUGAUUCUUGAGUAAUCUUUAAAAUGCUUCUGAUGUCUCAAAAGACAAAUCAAAACUCUACCAUGAUGUUAUGUUGAACAUUAAAAUUCUUCCCACAGCAACACUUAUUUCAGAGAAAUAACUGAUGUCAGUUAUCUUAGUAACUGCUAAAGGCACCAAGUGAGAAAAGUGUCAACUAGAUUUUAAAUAUUGAAAAAUAAAGAUAUCUGGUGCAGAGCUGAAAUCUUUAUGUUGAAAUAAGUUAGUCAUUACUGAUUUCAUGAAAUUGGAAAAUGUUUGAGUUGAACUGACUUUUAAAAAAUGCAAAUAUUAAUAAUGCUAACAAAAGAUUAUUAAAGUUUCCCUAAAGAUGCUUCUUCCAAUCUCUACGUGUUAAGUUAAAUAGGGCAGAUCUAAACAUUUAAGUAACCAACUACUAUAUUUCUUUAUUGUUAGUGGUCCCUAAAAGACUGUUUGUAAAGUAUUUCUAAAUUAAGUACAGCUCCAGUGAAAUACCUUUGUCUUUUGGAAGAGGAGAACUAAAUCUGCUAUUCCUUAGGCUAAGGAGACAACUAUUCAUAAGGUCCGACCCCUCACUUAUUCUAAUUGCCAAGCUUUUAUUCCAGUCUUUGGCACCUAGUGAUUAACCGACCAGUGACAGCAGAGAGGUAGUGACCCAAAGAGAUCUAGAGAAUGAGCGUUAAGACAGUACGUACGUAAGGACAGUAAGCCAUUGCAUUUAGGGAAUCACUGCUUUUCAAACUCCUUAACACUCUAACAAGGCAUUUUUGGUUAUCUUGAAGAUUUAGGACAGUCCUUACAUGCAAGACUCAUUUUUAAACUAAAGUGCAGUAAAAAGCAAAUUAUGGUUAACUUUAAAAAGAGGUAGCCACAGACCCAAUUGGUUUAGACUGGCCUUCCAAAGUCAGUGUGUGGGUUGAAGGGUGUGUGUUGUGGAUGUCCGAUUAUGUGACCGUAAGAAGGGAAGGCACAGCUCUGUGCAGACCCCCGAGAGAAGGCUGGAUGUUUAAUGUGGAGGUAGAGGGGAUAAUGC